rnacentral:rRNA from 1 species
UAGGGAAUUUUGCGCAAUGGGGGAAACCCUGACGCAGCAACGCCGCGUGACCGAUGAAGCCCUUCGGGGUGUAAAGGUCUGUCAGUGGGGACGAAAAAUGACGGUACCCACAGAGGAAGCAUCGGCUAACUCCGUGCCAGCAGCCGCGGUAAUACGGGGGAUGCAAGCGUUGUCCGGAAUCAUUGGGCGUAAAGAGUUCGUAGGUGGUUUGUUAAGUCUGGUGUUAAAGUCAGAGGCUCAACUUCUGUUCGGCACUGGAUACUGGCAGACUUGAAUGCGGUAGAGGUAAAGGGAAUUCCUGGUGUAGCGGUGAAAUGCGUAGAUAUCAGGAGGAACAUCGGAGGCGAAAGCGCUUUACUGGGCCGUAAUUGACACUGAGGAACGAAAGCCAGGGUAGCAAAUGGG